rnacentral:lncRNA from 1 species
AGAAUUGAGGUUGGGCAAAAAGGUACACUAAAUAUUCAGGCACAAGUUUGAGCAACAAAAAAUCAAAAGAAGAAGUUGUUUAUGCCCAAGGGUGCGAUCUUCUUAGUUUUGUAGAGAGGCGAGGGAUUAUUUAUUCAAAUCUUAUUGCUACUUUGAAAAACAUCAGCAGCACCGUCUCAAAGACAUUAAUCUGCAAAAAAAAAAAAAAAAAAAUCCUACAGUAGCUGUUUCAUAUUUGAAUGUGGCCUAGAUUUACUCUGGGGCUUACUGGGACUCUGUAGACAGGAUGGUAACCUUAUUGCCCCUUAAAUGCACACCAAAGCAGUAUUUUUUUCUCACUCUACCCCUUAGUUUUUCUCCCGCAGAGAGCAGGGAUUUUAAUUCCCUGAUGCGCCUGCAGUUUACAUGUGUUUUUCUGAGUGAUAGCGUUGAGUAAGACUAUCAUCGGCUAUCAGCAGAACAGGUUUGGUCUCCAGACACAUGGAGGGUGGAAUUAAGGAGUGAAGUGAAAGAGUAUGUGGAGGCUGAUCUUCGCUGUAAGAUUACCAGACAGCUGUUGGCGUCAUUUGCCGUGUGUGGUGAUAACACAGAGCAGGCUUGAGCGGCUUUUGGAGCUGCUCUUCAAACGUGUCAGGUCUCCAUAUGUGAGUACGUCUAGAGGAACAUCUGUAAGAGCAAGAAGGAAUGCUAUUUGCUUCUCGUGAAAGCUCAGAUGCAGCAGGUAAAGUUAAUGUCACCUUUGAAGCAGUCGCAAAAAAAAAAAAAAAAGGCUGAUGAGAUUUCUGAGUAAACCUGUUUUUUACUUAACAACUCGCACAUUAAGUGGUGCAAAGUGACAUGUUUUCAUAUAGAGUUUUUGUACUUCAGAGUGUAAUUUAUUUUUCAGUUUGUUCCUCAUUCCACUUCUCUGUUAACAGUACUUAAAAAAGUCGGCAGGAAAUAGAGGCCUCUUUUCAUAAUUCCCUGUUUCUGUUUCCAUUAGAGACACAUUUCCCGUCCAGAACCCUCAGACGGUUUCAUUUAGCAAACUCUUAGGAGCCCAAAAAGGGAAAAGAUUACAAUAUUCAUAAUAAAAGGCCAAAAAAUAUGAGUCGAAUCAAAAGUAUGAUCAUGCAUUUGUGCUGAAGAAGUCUCUGUUCCCGUUUCCCUUCCACAUUUAUCUCCUGACCUUUCAAAGGAGACAUAACCUCUGGGUUUCAAACCUUUGGACCCAACUACUGAGCUAUAAAAUAACUUCAUUCUGCUCCACAAAGGCUUCCUGUGCCUUUAUUGUGACACCAAAAUAAGCUGUCAGCAUGUGGUUUUGAUUUAAGAUAGUUUCAUGUUGGAAGAAUAGAGGCAUGUUGUGUUCAUGAGGGUAACAGUCACAAAUACUAUCAUGAGAGUUUAGAUUGAGUGACAGAUUUGUUCCUAUUGCUAAUCCAAAACUCAGUCCAACUAUUUCAAAUUCACCCAGAGGGGGUUUACCAAGACUGAAAAGUCUCAACUGCAGGGUCUUUUUUAUCUUUUUUUCACGCCAAUCUCAAGAGAAACUGUGGGAAUUUUAGAAUAAAGCUGCACCACUAUUUGCACGUUCUGUACUUUAUCUCACAAGCAUGGCAAUUUGCAAGAUAAUAUCAGGUUUCUGUGACGCAAAAGACAAGGCAGAUAAGACCUGGACCUCUGCCAAACCACCUCAGGUAGAUAUCUGUCCAGUCUGUUUGUGCCAUGAGUUUACACCUGUCCAAAAGGAAGUUUUACUCAGCAGUUUUAUAAACUUUUCAAGGUUUAAAUGUUAAGGAUUUAUAAGUGCGAUCCCUUUUUUGUGCUUCUGUUUCCAUUUAAACAAAAGACUUUUUCUUGCUUUCACUGAAGAAUCAUUUCUGCUUCUGUUAUUGUAUUAUUAUGUUAUUAUGUUAUUGUACUUUUAUAUCAGUGAUAGUCUGAUUAAUACUGAUAACUGGAAGUGUGUAUUCGUUCAUUCGUUUAUUUGUCAUGUGUGUUUUUUAUUUAAUUGAAAACUUUCCUGCUGCUACCUGAAACAACACUGAUAAGAGGAGGGCAAACAGUUAAGUGAAAAUAAAACCAAAAACAAGUGGGAAAUAACGUAGAGUUGAGAGAAACUGUUCACGGAUUUUCUCUGUCGAUGCCUCACAAUCAGUUCUUCACUUUACUUUCUGUAUUGAUCCGUUGCUUUCGUUUGAUUAGAUCCGUUGUCAUUACAAAGACACAGUGACAUACAAUCAAUGGGGAGGAGAAAACAUAGAUUUGAAAUCAUGGAAAUGACUGACAGAUACUGGGAAUAUUGAAAUACUAUUUCCCAUUUUGAUAACACAGUUUUACGAAUGAAAGUCGCUUUCAUUUCACCUCGAUUACUGUGAGAAAAAAGUGAGAUAAAACGGAGGAUAAAAGUCCUCGGUUUUUCACACAACGGUUCUAUUAUAUCACCUGAGAAGUCGCCAUUGCAACAACAGUCAGUACAUGUACAUGCACAGUAAAGUCAAGCUAUGGUCAUCUAAAGGUGGGGUAGGCAGGAUCUGAGGAAGUGCCAGUUUUUGGGAGAAAUCUUGAAUGUAAACGCUACCCCUCCCAACCAGUUUUCCCCUCAGCUCCUCCUCUCCCCUCCCUCUCUGCUCCAGCAAGCCCCGCCCACAAACAGACGCUCCUGCUCGCUCCUAUUGUUUCAAUUAAAUUCAGAUAUAAUGCAGAUAAAUACUUCAGAUAAUUACAAAUGGGGCCCAGUCAACGUGAAAGUAAAAAGCAUUGGAGCUACUACAGAUGCCAACAGUCUACCAGCGAACACAAUGUUUGUAGGACUUCUACAACUAGGAUAAAGAGACAUAGUCCAGGACCC